GACGGACGCUGGCGGCGUGCUUAACACAUGCAAGUCGAACGGAAAGGCCCUGCUUUUGUGGGGUGCUCGAGUGGCGAACGGGUGAGUAACACGUGAGUAACCUGCCCUUGACUUUGGGAUAACUUCAGGAAACUGGGGCUAAUACCGGAUAGGAGCUCCUGCUGCAUGGUGGGGGUUGGAAAGUUUCGGCGGUUGGGGAUGGACUCGCGGCUUAUCAGCUUGUUGGUGGGGUAGUGGCUUACCAAGGCUUUGACGGGUAGCCGGCCUGAGAGGGUGACCGGCCACAUUGGGACUGAGAUACGGCCCAGACUCCUACGGGAGGCAGCAGUGGGGAAUAUUGCACAAUGGGAGGAAGCCUGAUGCAGCAACGCCGCGUGCGGGAUGACGGCCUUCGGGUUGUAAACCGCUUUCGCCUGUGACGAAGCGUGAGUGACGGUAAUGGGUAAAGAAGCACCGGCUAACUACGUG
rnacentral:rRNA from 1 species